CCGAAACGCAAUCACUCUGAAGAAUUUGGUGUAUUGCUCUCCAAAUUACAAGAGCAAUGAUGAGAACAAAAAAAUGGCAGAAUCAAGAGAGAGCUUGAUAAACGCACCCCCAAACUCGAGACACCCCCAAACUAACGUGGAAACGGGGAAGAAGACGCUUAUACUUCACGGAACUAAAACGAGCAGUGUUUUGAAUUCAGUGUUAACAGAAAUUCAUCAUUUGAAGAAGGAUAAUUCCAUCAAGUACUCGAGAAGGAAUGACAAAAUUAGACCUUUUGAGAGUGGCGGCGAGACUUCUCUUGAAUUCUUCUCUCUCAAGACAGAUUGCGGCCUCUUUGUGGUAUGCUCUUAAAUUUUUUCACCCUCAAUUAGAUCAGAAAAUAGAGAGGAUGAAAGAGAAGGAGAGAGGGUAUUGCAAUGGAGAGAGGGAGAGGAGACGAUGAGAGAGGAGAGAGGGUAUUGCAGAGGAGAGAGGGAGAGGAGACGAUGAGAGAGAGAAGAGGGGAGAGAGGAAAGGAAAGAGAAAAAAUUGAAUGGUGAUAUUGCCACGUCAUAGUCGCUCACCAAGUCCACAACAUGUAUCCCGCAGCAUAUCAAUUCUCAUCAUAAAGUUAUUAUAUAUAUAUAUAGGGAUGCAUUACCCUCCUUA